CAUGCUGCCUUGCGCAUUCUUUUCGAAUUGCUGGACAGCCUGGGGACCAAGGCAGAAAUCUUUACAUCGAAACGGGGGCCAAUCACAGAGCGAGGAGGCACGAAAGACGAUGACGCGUACUACUCGACAAACGGAAGUUAGUUGCUAGUAGUUUUUUCGCGAAUCCAUCAUGGCGGCAGCCGAAGCGAAGCAAUCUUUCGGAGAAGCUCUGGACAGUGUUUUGAAUAGUUUGGAACGUAAUUUCGCUUUGAAAAACGAACAGCGCUUAGCGUUAGAGUCGUUUGUCAGCGGAAAGGAAGAUGUGUUAGCCUUACUACCGACUGGAUUUGGGUAAAGUCUGAUUUACCAACUCGCUCCGUUGGUUACUAAGGUAAUGGGGGUUAGCGAGACCCCGGUCGUUGCUGUGGUUUCGCCAUUAAUAGCAUUGGUGGAGGACCAAAUAAAGGACGCAGUCGACCUUGGAAUAUCUGCAACACAGCUGGGUCAAGACGAUGAAACGGCGAUUGAGAGAUGAUGCCGUUAUAAGAUUCUGUUUGGCAGUCCCGAGGCCUGGCUGAGCGCGAAGUGGGAGGACAUGCUAGCCGCCACCGAUGUAUACAAGACCAACCUGAUCAGCGUAGUUGUCGAUGAAGUCCAUCUUACUUAUAUAAAUGGAGGAAGGCUGAGAAAGGACGGAAUUGGGCUUUUAGGGAAAGCUUUGCGAGGUUGGGGAACUGAGAGCUAUCGUGAAACCAGAAACACCGGUACUGGCAUUGACUGUGUCUGCGGAAUUGCACUCAAGAGAAAUUGUCAGGAGACCGCUCCAACUCCAAAACCCAGUUGACAUCAUUGCCAGCCCCAAUCGACCCAACAUCAGACUCUCCAUAAGACGACUUUCGAGUGAGUCACUGGACUGUUUCGACUGGCUCGUGAAGGACUUGAAAGAGAAAGGAGUGGAGAUGUCACCAGUCAAUAUAUACUGCCGGACAAUAAACACGAGGGAGAAAACGAUGCUUAAAUAAAGUCUAAAUGGCUGCUUUAGGAAAGCCCUGUAUGUACAUUUUGAGCCUCACGUGUCCAGUGUGGAGCCUGGCCUUUCCUGCUGCACCUAUUGCCACUCAUUAUGCAAGUGUAACUCUGACUGUUGCUCUGUGCCAAAACCCAACUUUGAAAUACCCAAACAAAUCCUGUCACCUGUCAAAUGCAGAAAUGUCACAUUGGAAGAGCAGGGACUGGUCAGACAGCUUUUGGAGGAGUAUAGGGAUAGCCUGAUUGCACCAGGUUUUGGAAAGUCUGUGAUAUUUGACAUGACUUAUGUCAUGCAGAAUCUC